rnacentral:rRNA from 1 species
UUGACGGGACCCGCACAAGCGGUGGAUGAUGUGGUUUAAUUCGAUGCAACGCGAAAACCUUACCCACCUUUGACAUGUACGGAAGCCUUUAGAGAUAGAGGCGUGCUCGAAAGAGAGCCGUAACACAGGUGCUGCAUGGCUGUCGUCAGCUCGUGUCGUGAGAUGUUGGGUUAAGUCCCGCAACGAGCGCAACCCUUGUCAUUAGUUGCUACAUUCAGUUGGGCACUCUAAUGAGACUGCCGGUGACAAGCCGGAGGAAGGUGGGGAUGACGUCAAGUCCUCAUGGCCCUUAUAGGUGGGGCUACACACGUCAUACAAUGGCUGGUACAAAGGGUUGCCAACCCGCGAGGGGGAGCCAAUCCCAUAAAGCCAGUCGUAGUCCGGAUCGUAGUCUGCAACUCGACUACGUGAAGUCGGAAUCGCUAGUAAUCGUGGAUCAGAAUGUCACGGUGAAUACGUUCCCGGGUCUU